rnacentral:rRNA from 1 species
UACAGAGGUCUCAAGCGUUGUUCGGAUUCAUUGGGCGUAAAGGGUGCGUAGGCGGCGCGGUAAGUCAGGUGUGAAAUCUCGGGGCUCAACCCCGAAACUGCACUUGAUACUGCGGUGCUCGAGUACUGGAGAGGAGAUUGGAAUUUACGGUGUAGCAGUGAAAUGCGUAGAUAUCGUAAGGAAGACCAGUGGCGAAGGCGAAUCUCUGGACAGUUACUGACACUGAGGCACGAAGGCCAGGGGAGCAAACGGG